rnacentral:rRNA from 1 species
AGUGAACGCUGGCGGUAGGCCUAACACAUGCAAGUCGAACGGCAGCACAGAGGAGCUUGCUCCUUGGGUGGCGAGUGGCGGACGGGUGAGGAAUACAUCGGAAUCUACUCUGUCGUGGGGGAUAACGUAGGGAAACUUACGCUAAUACCGCAUACGACCUACGGGUGAAAGCAGGGGAUCUUCGGACCUUGCGCGAUUGAAUGAGCCGAUGUCGGAUUAGCUAGUUGGCGGGGUAAAGGCCCACCAAGGCAACGAUCCGUAGCUGGUCUGCGCAGGUGAGCAGCCACACGGGAACGGAGACACGCGCCAGAGUCGUCCGGGGGGCAGCAGUGGAGAAUAUUGGACAAUAGGCGCAAGCCUGAUACAGCCAUACCGCGUGGGUGAAGAAGGCCUUCGGGUUGUAAAGCCCUUUUGUUGGGAAAGAAAUCCAUCUGGUUAAUACCCGGGUGGGAUGACGGUACCCAAAGAAUAAGCACCGGCUAACUUCGUGCCAGCAGCCGCGGUAA